GACGAACGCUGGCGGCGUGCCUAAUACAUGCAAGUUGAGCGAUGAAGAUUGGUGCUUGCACCAAUUUGAAGAGCAGCGAACGGGUGAGUAACGCGUGGGGAAUCUGCCUUUGAGCGGGGGACAACAUUUGGAAACGAAUGCUAAUACCGCAUAACAACUUUAAACAUAAGUUUUAAGUUUGAAAGAUGGAAUUGCAUCACUCAAAGAUGAUCCCGCGUUGUAUUAGCUAGUUGGUGAGGUAAAGGCUCACCAAGGCGAUGAUACAUAGCCGACCUGAGAGGGUGAUCGGCCACAUUGGGACUGAGACACGGCCCAAACUCCUACGGGAGGCAGCAGUAGGGAAUCUUCGGCAAUGGACGAAAGUCUGACCGAGCAACGCCGCGUGAGUGAAGAAGGUUUUCGGAUCGCAAAACUCUGUUGGUAGAGAAGAACGUUGGUGAGAGUGGAAAGCUCAUCAAGUGACGGUAACUACCCAGAAAGGGACGGCUAACUACGUG
rnacentral:rRNA from 1 species